AUACGUAGGUGGCAAGCGUUGUCCGGAAUUAUUGGGCGUAAAGCGCGCGCAGGCGGUCCUUUAAGUCUGAUGUGAAAGCCCACGGCUCAACCGUGGAGGGUCAUUGGAAACUGGGGGACUUGAGUGCAGAAGAGGAAAGUGGAAUUCCAAGUGUAGCGGUGAAAUGCGUAUAGAUUUGGAGGAACACCAGUGGCGAAGGCGACUUUCAGGGCUGUAACUGACGCUGUGUACGGAAAGAGUGGGGACUAAACAGGAUUAGUUGGCCUGGGGGUCCACGCCGUAAACGAUGAUUGCUAAGUGUUAGGGGGUUUCCGCCCCUUAGUGCUGCAGCUAAAGCAUUAAGCACUCCGCCUGGGGAGUACGGUCGCAAGACUGAAACUCAAAUGAAUUGACGGGG
rnacentral:rRNA from 1 species